rnacentral:rRNA from 1 species
GACGAACGCUGGCGGCGUGCCUAAUACAUGCAAGUCGAACGCAGUGGGGACGGGUGAGUAACACGUGGGUAACCUCCCAACAGAGGGGAUAAAACUUGGAAACAGGUGCUAAACCGAUAGUGAUGGAGGGACACGCGGUGCAUUAGCUAGUUGGGUAGGUAACGGCUCACCAAGGCCACUAUGCAUAGCCGACCUGAGAGGGGGAUCGGCCACACUGGGACUUAGCCACGGCCCAGACUCCUACGGGAGGCAGCAGUAGGUAAUCUUCGGCAAUGGACGAAAGUCUGACCGAGCAACGCCGCGUGAGUGAAUAAGUUUUUCGGAUCGUAAAACUCUGUUGUUAGAGAAGCGGUAUCUAACCAGAAAGCCACGGCUAACUACGUGCCAGCAGCCGCGGUAAUUC